rnacentral:rRNA from 1 species
CGGCGUAAAGCUGUCGCUAUGGGGAUGGGCCCCGCCGGUGCAUUAGUCUAGUUGGCAAGGUAAAGGCUUACCAAGGGCGAUGAUGCAUAGCCCGAGUUGAGAGACUGAUCGGCCACAUUGGGGACUGAGACACGGCCCAAACUCCUACGGGAGGCAGCAGUAGGGAAUCUUCCACAAUGGACGCAAGUCUGAUGGAGCAAAAAGCCGCGUGAGUGAAGAAGGUUUUCGGAUCGUAAAGCUCUGUUGUUGGUGAAGAAGGAUAGAGGUAGUAACUGGCCCUUUAUUUGACGGUAAUCAACCAGAAAGUCACGGGCUAACUACGUGCCAGCAGCAGCGGUAAAU